rnacentral:lncRNA from 1 species
UCGAAACUUUUAAAACUGAAACAAACAAACAUUGUUCUUGCAUAACAGUAUCUUAGACUGAUUGUAGAAUAGUAAGGUAAUGGGACUCGAGAAAUUCACAUAGAAAGUCUGAGUUCCUGUACAGUGUCUGUUACGUAUACAUAUACGAACAUUGAGAAACUCAUUCUGUAUAUUCUUGUUUGCAAAAAGUUAUGUCACAGAGUUGGAGUAGCAGGGACGUAGAUUCAUACAACAUAUGGAACUCAAUGUUUCCUUCUACUGUUUUCCAGGAACUUCACAAACCUGUAAAGAGAAUCAAUAAGUCACCAUUGAUCACCAUAAAAAAAAAGGAGGAGCAGAGUACACAAAAGGAUCAAUGAAUCAAAGACUGUUACUUAGAUCAAGUGUCUAAAUGCUUGAAUCUAAACUUAAAGCGCCAAAGUAUACAAAAAUAUUUGAGUUACAAAGCAAAUUAGAGAGUCUGUUGGUCCAAUGCCUGGUUCAAUAACUGAUUGUGUCAGUUUGGUUAACGAUAAAAAAAAUGGCUUAAAGGAACUUACAUUAGCUUUUUUGUUUUAGCCACCAAUGUGUAUCAUUGGUCUAUUAGCUGUCUUUGCAAUGUCAAGCAUUCCAGCGUGUGCCGCUUUCUUCCUCUUCACCUGAAACCCCAUUCUCAAAAAAAUCUUAAUGUCUCAAACACCAAACCAAUCUUUAAAGAAAGCAGAAGAAAGAUUUCUUGAUGAAGCAACUAAAUACAUACAGCAGCGCCUAUAAUUUCCCUUAGCGUUUCGUCAUCAGCACCAGACCGGAUAGGAUCUCUCAAACUAACCUGCUUACAAGAAAAUGAUUGUCAAGUUUAACGUUAUUAGAGUCAUCAUAUUUACAGGGAAUCAAGUUAGUGUGUAGAUGUUCUCAGUCAAUUUGAAUCAACAAGUAAUCUUAAUUUACCUCUGAAGGACCGAACAAGCAUACUUUGAAGUUCCCAUCUGCAAGUAAUCUUAACCUAUUGCAGCCAGAACAGAAGUGCUCCGUCAUAGAUGUGAUGAAAGAUACAGAACCGCAAUGUCCAUCAAUAGUGAAGUUCUUAGCUGUUUCAGUAGGGUGAUCUUGGACACGUUUUAUACUCGGAAAGCGCUUUACCUGUUAACAUAACAACGCCAAAUCAAUCAUGAAACUCUGCUCAAGAAAAGGUCGAAAAGAUCUCCAAAAAACAGCCAAACAUUAAAGAGAAAUCUACCUUACCACUUUAUCCAUCAUUUCAGCAUAAGACACAAGUUUCUUUACAUUCCAAACAUUUCCAUCAAAGGGCAUAAACUCUAUGAACCGGACGUUGAUAGGCUUAUCUCUAGUCAGCUCCACAAAAUCACAAAUCUCAUCAUCAUUCAAUCCCCUCAUGACAACACAGUUGACCUGCAAAUACAAACCAUCUCUUGUGAACAAACACGAAUUAACUUAGAAGAAAGCAAAUAAACUUAAAAGAGCAAAACGAAUCGACCCGUUUAUAGUUUGUAUAUUGAUUAUGUGAAUUAAUAAUUUACAAUCCCUUAGACCCGUAUUUAUACUAGCCUCAAAAACUGAGAUUUAAGUCAUUUUCCGAAUCAACAAUAUCAAAUAUGGUUCUAUUGCAAUCAAAAACAUACCUUCACAGGAUUGUAACCAAGAGCAAUAGCGAAAUCAAUAGAUUGCAUAACCCUCUCGUGCCCUUUACGCCUAGUGAGAAACUCAAACUUUGCAGGGACAAGAGUAUCCAAACUGAUGUUUAUGGAAUCAAGCCCACACUCUUUAAGCUUUGGUAGCUUCCUCGCAAGAGUGAUACCAUUAGUAGUAAUAGCCAGAUUCUUCAACCCUUUUAAGCUAGACAACUGCAUACAGAUCUCUUCGAUGUCUUUCCUCACCGUAGGCUCGCCACCGGUCAGCCUAAUCUUGUUAACACCAGAAGACACAAAGAGACCAGCCAACCUAACGAUCUCAGACUGUGACAGCAACUGAGGCUUAGGAGUAAGCUCCACGCCUUCAGAGGGCAUGCAGUACUGGCACCUGAGGUUACAACGCUCUGUCAAGGAGAUUCUCAAGUAGGUGUGAAACCGACCAAAUGAAUCAACCAACAUGUCUGAGACAGAGCUGGGUUUUGUCUGAUCAACUUGAGCUGCAUUGCUUGUAGUAGUAAUGUUUUUUGAGCCAACCUGUUAAAGAAGCCCAAAGUGAGAAGAGACCACAAUAAAAGCAUUGAAUCUCUCUAAUGGCAAAUCACAUCACACACAUACUAAAAGGUCAUAUCAACAUUCAUCAGCUCGUAGCAAAGUAAAUAGGGGAAAAGAUUGGAAAUUUACCAAGAAAGAGUUCGAAUUGGUGAAACCCAUUUGCCGGGGAGUGAGUUUAGAAAGGCACCUCCUCAUCGUUGUUAACACUGCAGAGAAACGAUUGAGUGAGAAUCGUGCUGAGGGUGUGAAGAUUAAAACUUGAUUGAAGUGAGAGAGAGAGAGGGGGAUGAAAGAGGUGACCUUUGGGAGACGGAGGGGAGAGAGAUUCUUAUUCUUAUGGUGAAACCAAACAAAGUUGGAUUCUUCUUCUAUGGUACAAAAAGGCUGGCGUUGAAAAAAUGAAGACGGCACUUGCAGAGUAGAGAGGUUUGGAUUAAAAAACAGAUAACUAUUUCGUCUUUUCUGAGACAUCUGCCGGUCUUGCCGGUGACCGGUUAUCGCCAAUCAAACCAACGUUAUCAAAUCAACGUGAUUGGGAAAUUUGACUUGUAAAAGUUGAAAAUUUGACUGGUAAAAACAUCCCUUUGAUUUUUUUUUUUUUUUUUUUUGACAACAAGACAUUCACAGACUCAACUUGACUCUGUAAACCAAAUCGGUAACUCUGCAUCCAUGUGAACGACGAAAGACGAUUGUUUCCUAACACUACGUGCUAAGCUAUCCGCCCUUUUAUUCUCCGUCCGAGGUACAUGAACAAUCUCUGAGUUGUUGAAGCUUCCUUGUAGGACUUUGAUAUCUUUCAGGUAACUUUCAAAUGCUGGCCAUUCUUCUGGUUCCGAAACCAUCUUCACCAGUUGAGAACAAUCCGUUGCAAACGUAACAUGAAGCUGUCUUAAAUUCCUCAUACAUUCCAUUGCCCAGAUCAGCGCCUCCACCUCUGAAUGUAGUGGUGAAAGACAUGCCCUUACAUUCCGUGCCCCUAAUAAGCCAUCGAAACCCGGUAGGAUACUAUACCAGCCCUGUCCUGAAAAUAGAUCCUUAUCUUUCCAUGAUCCAUCUAUAAAACACCAGCGUCCUGAAGUUACCAAUAUGGGUCUGGUAUGUACCUGUAAUUCCCGUUUUUGGUCGUUGUUCACCUGUGCCGCAGCCCAAAGUGUAGAUUCCAAUUCUGCUAGUCUAAGGGUUUCCCUUGGAUCGACAUCCAGGUUACUGAAAACUUUAUUAUUCCUACCUUUCCAUAUAUACCAUAAAAUCCAAGCAAAUUGAUGAUUUUAUAUUAGGCAUAGAGUUAUUAGGACUUUAAUCUCAAAUGGGACAAAUGGGUGAAAAAAAAUCUACAACCACCUAUUUUAAUCUACAUGGGACAAUAAUUAGAAAAUUACAAUAUUGUCAUUAAUGAAAGAACAAUAUGAGCCAUUCGAUUCUCUUUUCUCUCUUUAAACUAGAGUCGUCGGAUCAUAAAGAAAGAAGAGAUUAUGAUAUUUACGAAAACGCCAUUAAUGAAGUAUCAAUCAUAGCCGUUAGAUCAUCUUGUCUACCAUUUAAUUAUAGUCACACAAUUACAUAUAUCUCUCCUUCUCUCUAUUCUCUCUUAAUCUCAACCGCAUGAUCAUUUCUUCCUUCUUCAAUUACAACCAUAGGAUCUUCCUUAUCUCAUUCUUUAAUUCGACUGGGUAUAACUAGUAUAACUCGUACAACUGAACAGGUUAAGAAAUUUUAUAAAUGGUAUAUAAAUGUUAUAAUCUAUAUAUAAUAUGUAGCUACUAUAAUUAACACGACUAGUAAAUCAUGUUUUACAUAUGAAAUAAACAACAAAUAUCCUAAUUUGUAUAUAAUGAUAAAAUUUCAUAUAUUUUAUUUGAGAUUUAUCAACUAUAUUAGUCAUAUUAUAAUGAUAAACAAACACCGAACAUAUUUUUGCAAAGCUAUGAAGUGAAAAUAUUGGUACAAUCUCUAAACCGAGACAUAUAUAGAAACAAUUGAUAUCAUUUUUAUUAUAUAUUAAAUGAGUAUUACUGGUAUAACUGGUACAACUUUAACAUUUAAUAAAUUUGACAAAACCAAUUUGGUAUUCCAUAUGAGAAAAAAUAAUCAAAUAUCUCAAUUUGUAUGUACUCAUAAGUUUCUCUUAAUUUAUUUGAAGUUUUGGAUUUUUUUUUUGAAAAUUAUUACAUAACUCCACAAGCUUACAUGAUCCACCUUAUACUUUUAAGGUUUGUUAACUUGUUUGUCCACUAAAUUUUUGGAAAACAUACAUAAAAUGAAUUUUUACGAAAUUGAUGAUUUCAUUGUAACCGGGCAAAGACAUGUAAACAUAAUUAAGUGGUACAACAUAUGUAAUUUGUAUUUAUUAUGUGGUACAACUGAUAUUUUACGAUUUCACUGCCAAAGUACAACUAUGCACAAACUGGUACAACUCAAAAACUAGUACAACUAUGUACAGCCGGUACAACUAGAAAACUAGUACAACUACUUGUUAUUUUAUUUAUUAUAAAUGACUAUAUUACCCUUGAUGAAAAUGCAUUCUCAACCAUUAGAUCAUCUCACUUCUUAUAAUCUGAACCACACGAUCUUUCUUCUCUUCUUCUCUCUUUCGGUUGGGACCCACUUCCUCUUUCUCUCAACCCUAGAUCAUUUUUCCCUUGUUCGAUCAUGGCCACACGAUUUCUAUCAUUUGUAUGUGUAUAACUAAUAUAACUUGUACAACUAAACAAGCAAACAGAUGAUGUAACUAGUAUUUACGUGACACGACUAAUAAAUCAUGUUUUCCAUAUGAAAUAAACGAACAAAUAUCUUAAUUGGUUAAUGGUGACAAAAUUUCAUUUAUUUUAAUUGAGAGUUUUCAAUAUUUUGUUUUAUUUACCAAAAGGAGAUGCAGUUUCUCUCUCGCGGUUCCGAACCUGCCUGGUUAGAUUUGACGAGGACCACCGUGGACACCACCAUCGAGCUUCCUCUUCUUUGUCAUGACUUCACUCUUCUUUGUUGUAUCUCUCUUCUUCUUCGUUGUAUCUCUCUUCUUCUUCUUCAUUAUAUAUUUCUUCUUAUUCGGUGCGGCACCUCUCUUUUUCACAGUAGAGUCCUUUUUGUUCAUCGCCGGUGAGUCACUCAUACUCAUCGCCGACACUCCCUCUCUCUUAUUUUUCAGGUGACUCGUGUAUUUGGAACCAUGGUUGAGUUUUUUUCUGGCUCCGUAUCUACCUUUUUGGUCUCGAGAGCAAAAAGAUGAAGAUGAUUUUUUUUCGAAAAUAGUACAACUAGUAUAACUGGUACAACUUGUAACAAAUCAUUAGUCAAAUCAAAUAUUAUUAAAAAUAUACUAUUCAUGUAUUUGAUACAUGCAGGCGGGGAAGAUUAGACCAAUAUGUCUUCUUGGUUCUACAUCAUUUUUUUUAUCAUCUUUAUACGCUGAAAACAAAAAAUAAAAAUCACUAUAUUAAUUGCAAAGUUGUACUAGUUAUACUCAUUGUAGUUGUACUAGUUGGAGUUGUACUAGUUGUAUUAGUAAUACUGCGUUUUUUUUUUAUCUUGAAUCUCAUAAGAAAAAGAUGAAAUUUGAUUCUAAAUAAGAUAUAAUUGAUUGAAAAUGACUAUGAAUUGAUCGAUUUGGUAUAAGAAAAAGAAAAUUAGUGGAUUAUUAAAGAAAAUUUUUGAUUUUGUUUUAUGGUGGAAGAACAUUAAUGGAGAAGAAAGAAGAAGAAGAAAAAAAUUAGGGUUAAAAUUGCAUAGGGUUUUGGGUCGGAUUUUGGGUCUGGAUCCGGGUCAAAUCUGGGUAGGAUAGUCAUGGCAGAAACUAGUAAAUAUGUUUGAUUCUUUAAGUCUUAUGGUCUUUUCUCCAAAUUUUGAUUUAUUUUUAAUUUAUUUUUUAAUUAAAAUUUGAAGUGGUCCUUUUUAGAUUUUUUUGACCCCCUUUGUCCCAUUCCAGAAUUUGAUCCCAUAGGUAUUUGUUUGAAUAUUCAAAGAUGCAUCAUUAUCUGUCUAAUUUUUGCUAAUUUCUCGAUCCAAGAACAUCAUGAUUACAUGUGCAACACUGUGUUUUAACUUUUUCAUAAAUUAAAUUAUAAGAGAAUCUCUCAAAAUAUCUUAUAUCAUCUGGCAUAACAUAUUUUAAUCCAUCUAUCAAAACAUUGAUGUUCAUGCCAAAACCAAUUCCAUACUAAAGAUCACAUCAUAAAAUUUACCUGACAGACCACUUAAGUCAGCUGGCAUGUUUGCCUCGCUGGUCACCACUAGAAAGUUUCAGACCUUUCCCAAAGUUAACAUAACUUGGUCUUCAGGUGACAGUUCAGUCAGCGAAUCAGGGGAGUUAUACGAUGUUUCAUGCUAUGCUUUAACUUCCAAUUUGUGAAAUUAAAAAGUGUCGAAACUUUUAAAACUGAAACAAACAAACAUUGUUCUUGCAUAACAGUAUCUUAGACUGAUUGUAGAAUAGUAAGGUAAUGGGACUCGAGAAAUUCACAUAGAAAGUCUGAGUUCCUGUACAGUGUCUGUUACGUAUACAUAUACGAACAUUGAGAAACUCAUUCUGUAUAUUCUUGUUUGCAAAAAGUUAUGUCACAG